rnacentral:rRNA from 1 species
AGCGAACGCUGGCGGCAGGCCUAACACAUGCAAGUCGAACGAACUCUUCGGAGUUAGUGGCGGACGGGUGAGUAACACGUGGGAACGUGCCUUUUGGUUCGGAAUAACUCAGGGUAACUUGUGCUAAUACCGAAUGUGCUCUUCGGGGGAAAGAUUUAUCGCCAUUAGAGCGGCCCGCGUCAGAUUAGCUAGUUGGUGAGGUAACGGCUCACCAAGGCGACGAUCAGUAGCUGGUCUGGGAGGAUGACCAACCACGCUGGGGCUGAGACACGGCCCAGAAUGCUACGGAAGGCAGCAGUGGGGAAUCUAGCGCAAUGAAGGAAGGCCUGACGCGGCCAUGCCGCGUAAAUGAUGAAGGUCUUAGGAUUGUAAAAUUCUUUCAGCGGAGACGAUAAUGACGGUACCCGGAGAAGAAGCCCCGGCUAACUUCGUG